rnacentral:rRNA from 1 species
UACAGAGGGGGCAAGCGUUGUUCGGAAUUACUGGGCGUAAAGGGCGCGUAGGCGGCCUGUUAAGUCGAACGUGAAAUCCCCGGGCUCAACCCGGGAACUGCGUCCGAUACUGGCAGGCUUGAAUCCGGGAGAGGGAUGCGGAAUUCCAGGUGUAGCGGUGAAAUGCGUAGAUAUCGGGAAGAACACCCGUGGCGAAGGCGACUCUCUGGUCUGUAACUGACGCUGAGGAGCGAAAGCGUGGGGAGCAAA